AUGCAAGUCGAGGGGCAGCAUGAUUGAAGCUUGCUUCAAUUGAUGGCGACCGGCGCACGGGUGAGUAACGCGUAUCCAACCUUCCGUACACUCAGGGAUAGCCUUUCGAAAGAAAGAUUAAUACCUGAUGGUAUGGUGAGAUUGCAUGAUAUCAUCAUUAAAGAUUCAUCGGUGUACGAUGGGGAUGCGUUCCAUUAGGUAGUAGGCGGGGUAACGGCCCACCUAGCCUACGAUGGAUAGGGGUUCUGAGAGGAAGGUCCCCCACAUUGGAACUGAGACACGGUCCAAACUCCUACGGGAGGCAGCAGUGAGGAAUAUUGGUCAAUGGACGAGAGUCUGAACCAGCCAAGUAGCGUGAAGGAUGAAGGUCCUACGGAUUGUAAACUUCUUUUAUAAGGGAAUAAAACCUCCCACGUGUGGGAGCUUGUAUGUACCUUAUGAAUAAGCAUCGGCUAACUCCGUGCCAGCAGCCGCGGUAAUACGGAGGAUGCGAGCGUUAUCCGGAUUUAUUGGGUUUAAAGGGAGCGCAGACGGGUCGUUAAGUCAGCUGUGAAAGUUUGGGGCUCAACCUUAAAAUUGCAGUUGAUACUGGCGUCCUUGAGUGCGGUUGAGGUGUGCGGAAUUCGUGGUGUAGCGGUGAAAUGCUUAGAUAUCACGAAGAACUCCGAUUGCGAAGGCAGCACACUAAGCCGUAACUGACGUUCAUGCUCGAAAGUGUGGGUAUCAAACAGGAUUAGAUACCCUGGUAGUCCACACGGUAAACGAUGGAUACUCGCUGUUGGCGAUAUACAGUCAGCGGCUUAGCGAAAGCGUUAAGUAUCCCACCUGGGGAGUACGCCGGCAACGGUGAAACUCAAAGGAAUUGACGGGGGCCCGCACAAGCGGAGGAACAUGUGGUUUAAUUCGAUGAUACGCGAGGAACCUUACCCGG
rnacentral:rRNA from 1 species